rnacentral:misc_RNA from 1 species
GGAGGGAUCAUUUGCGAAAGCUUGCAUUCGUUCUGGCAACGGAACGGGUCAACCUCUAAAUCUUGUGGGCAAGAUGGCUUUGUGGUUUGGCGACCCUUGGGUCGCCACAUUCAUGCCAGAAGCUGAGUUUGUCUGAAUUUGAAUUUAAAGUCAAAACUUUCAACACUGGAUCUCUUGGCUCUUGCACCGAUGAAGAACGCAGCAGCGAGCGAAAUGUAGUGUGAAUCGCAAGACAUUGUGAAUCAUCAAGUCUUUGAACGCACAUUGCACCUUCCGUUAUGGGGAGGUAUGCCUGUCUGAGCGUUCUUAAAUCCUUCUAGGCCACAUCUGGCCUGUCCUGGGCUCCGCCCUUGUUUGAGGGCGCCGCCUCGAGAGCAUGCCGAUGGAAGCGGACGAGGUCCUUUGGGGCAGACCGUUACCUGCGGCCAUCUUUACUUUGAACUGGACCUCAGAUCAGGUAGGACUACCGCCUGAACUUAAGCAUAUCAAUAAGGCGAGGAAAAGAAACCAACAGGGAUUCCCUUAGUAGCGGCGAGCGAAGUGGGAGAAGCUCAAGUUUGAAAUCCAGGCUCUGUCUGGAGUUGUAAGCUGGAGGGACGUUUGCCAAAGCCAUCUGGGCUCAAUUUGCUUGGAACAGCAAGUCGUUGAGGGUGAGAACCCCGUCCACGGCUCGGUGUUUGGCUUUCUAGUGCGGCGGCCCCAAUGAGUCGGGUUGUUUGGGAAUGCAGCUCAAAAUGGGUGGUAAAUUUCAUCUAAAGCUAAAUAUUGGCAAGAGACCGAUAGCGAACAAGUAGAGUGAUCGAAAGAUGAAAAGCACUUUGAAAAGAGAGUGAAACAGUGCGUGAAAUUGUUGAAAGGGAAGCGCUUGGCAUCAGCCCUUGACUUUUGACCAUCAUCCUGGCUUCUGUCUGGUGCAAUGGUCAAUAGUUGGGCCAGCGUCGGCUCCCUCCGCCCUAGAAAGGCCUUGGGGAUGUGGCUCCUUUUGGAGUGUUAUAACCUUUGGCGGCAUGGGGUGAGAGGGGGCCGAGGUCCGCGGCAUAGCCCAGGACGCUGGCGUAAUGGUUCCAAGCGACCCGUCUUGAAACACGGACCAAGGAGUCUAACAUCUAUGCGAGUGUUUGGGUGUCAAGCCCGGCCGCGCAAUGAAAGUGAAAGGGGCGGGAGCCUAGAGGCGCACCGUCGACCGGUCCGGAGGUUUACCGAUGGAUCCGAGUGAGAGCAUAGCUGUUGGGACCCGAAAGAUGGUGAACUAUGCCUGAAUAGGGCGAAGCCAGAGGAAACUCUGGUGGAGGCUCGAAGCGGUUCUGACGUGCAAAUCGAUCGUCGAAUUUGGGUAUAGGGGCGAAAGACUAAUCGAACCAUCUAGUAGCUGGUUCCCGC